rfam:Schistosoma haematobium scaffold514_10, whole genome shotgun sequence.
AUCCAGAUGACGAGUCCCAAAUAGGACGAAACGCGUGUCCUGAAU